rnacentral:ncRNA from 2 species
AUGAAGGCGAGAGGAGAGACUGUUGGUCGUUUUGGAUCGACGGCGCCGAAGGAGCAAACUUCUUGCAAGAAGUGAAUCUCUCAGGCAAAAGGAGGCUUGCUGGACG